UACGAAGGGGGCUAGCGUUGCUCGGAAUUACUGGGCGUAAAGCGCACGUAGGCGGCUUUCUAAGUCGGGGGUGAAAUCCUGGAGCUCAACUCCAGAACUGCCUUCGAUACUGGCGAUCUUGAGCCGGAAGAGGUGAGUGGAACUCCUAGUGUAGAGGUGGAAUUCGUAGAUAUUAGGAAGAACACCAGUGGCGAAGGCGGCUCACUGGUCCGGUACUGACGCUGAGGUGCGAAGGCGUGGGGAGCAAACAGG
rnacentral:rRNA from 1 species